AGAGUUUGAUCAUGGCUCAGGACGAACGCUGGCGGUGUGCUUCACACAUGCAAGUCGAACGGGGUAGCAAUACCCAGUGGCGGACGGGUGAGUAACGCGUGGGAAUCUGCCUUUAGAUGGGGGAUAGCAAGCCGAAAGGCUUAUUAAUACCGCAUAAGUAUGCAAUUCGACAGUUUUGCAUAUAAAAGGAGCAAUUCGUCUGAAGAUGAGCCCGCGUCCGAUUAGCUAGUUGGUAGGGUAAAUGCCUACCAAGGCGACGAUCGGUAGGUGGUCUGAGAGGAUGAUCACCCACAAUGGGACUGAGACACGGCCCAUACUCCUACGGGAGGCAGCAGUGGGGAAUUUUGUGCAAUGGGCGAAAGCCUGACACAGCGACACCGCGUGAGCGAAGAAGCCCUUUGGGGUGUAAAGCUCUGUCGGCUGGAACGAAAAAAAUGACGGUACCAGCAAAGGAAGCAUCGGCUAACUACGUGCCAGCAGCCGCGGUAAGACGUAGGAUGCGAGCGUUGUCCGGAUUCAUUGGGCGUAAAGAGUUCGUAGGUGGUUUGUUAAGUCUGGUGUUAAAGAUCGGGGCCCAACCCUGGGAGUGCACUGGAUACUGGCAGACUCGAGUGCGGUAGAGGUAAGUGGAAUUCCUGGUGUAGCGGUGAAAUGCGUAGAUAUCAGGAAGAACACCAGUGGCGUAGGCGACUUACUGGGCCGUAACUGACACUGAGGAACGAAAGCCAGGGUAGCGAAUGGGAUUAGAUACCCCCGUAGUCC
rnacentral:rRNA from 1 species